AACACGAUGCCGAUUCAAAGAAUUGCAGUAACGGUUUGAGUCAGUGGAGUAUCAGAUUCUAGGAUACGAGAAAACGCAGAAAGGUAUUCUUUUAUUGUAUUUGCAUGGAUUGUAAACUACUGGUAAUAACGUUACAAAACCAAAUCAUUACUUUAACAAAGAAAAAGAAAUAACGAUCAGCCUACGAGAUUAAAGCCCUAAAAUGAACAAAUUCACAACCCUUAAGCGUAUUAAUGGAAGUUCAUGAAAAAAUUGAACAGGAUACGUAUGCUGUCAAAAACUAUUUCCAAAAAAUGAUUUA